GCCGAAGUGGCGGAACUGGUAGACGCCCGGGACUUAAAAUCCCGUGUUCAGCAAUGGACGUACGGGUUCGAUUCCCGUCUUCGGCACUA
rnacentral:tRNA from 1 species